AAGUUGUGAGAGCCAAUAAGCUCAGACCAAUAUGAAGAAAGAGAGUACUUAUCUCUUUCUCAUCACUCUGUUAAUUUUGCUUGGAAUCUGCAGUUCUUUUGUCCAAGCAAGAACAGUUUGUGAGAAACCAUAUAAAGGGGGCGUCAUCAUGAGGGUCUCACCUUCACCUCCACCUCCGCAAGGACAAGCCAGCCAACCAACUGCACUUUAAUGGACCUUGAUCAGGGAGACUCGAAUUGGAAACAGCUAUUAACACACAGAGCCUUUGGAUCAACAGGGCUACAACUUGGGUGUAUGGAUGAUCUCUUCUUAAUUCAAUGUGUUAUGCAUUCUGAAUGUUGGUAGUUUAUUAACUAUGUUUUCUUGUAACGGUUGGGCCUGCGCUAAAAAUGGAGCAAAACACAAGUAUUUCUAUUAAUGAAAUUGAAAAAUAGCUGAUGAUUUACCCACCAUC